rnacentral:rRNA from 1 species
UACGUAGGAGGCAAGCGUUGUCCGGAUUUACUGGGCGUAAAGAGCGUGUAGGCGGUUGAGCAAGUCUGCUGUGAAAUCUCCUGGCUCAACCAGGAAGGGUCAGUGGAAACUGCUUAACUUGAGGACGGUAGAGGGGGGUGGAAUUCCCGGUGUAGUGGUGAAAUGCGUAGAGAUCGGGAGGAACACCAGCGGCGAAGGCGGCUCGCUGGGCCGUUGCUGACGCUGAUGCGCGAAAGCGUGGGGAGCAAACAGG